rnacentral:rRNA from 1 species
CAACGUGGGCAAUCUGCCGAAAAGUGGGGGAUAGCUCGCCGAAAGGCGAAUUAAUACCGCAUGUGGUGAGGGACGACAUCUUCCUGAAUCCAAAGCCGGGGCAACCUGGCGCUUUUUGAGGAGCCCGCGGCCUAUCAGCUAGUUGGGGGGGUAAUGGCCCACCAAGGCGACGACGGGUAGCUGGUCUGAGAGGAUGGCCAGCCACAUUGGGACUGAGAGACGGCCCAG